rnacentral:rRNA from 1 species
GUGGGGAGCAAAACAGGAUUAGAUACCCCUGGUAGUCCUCGCCGUAAACGAUGUCUACUUGGAGGUUGUGGCCUUGAGCCGUGGCUUUCGGAGCUAACGCGUUAAGUAGACCGCCUGGGGAGUACGGUCGCAAGAUUAAAACUCAAAUGAAUUGACGGGGGCCCGCACAAGCGGUGGAGCAUGUGGUUUAAUUCGAUGCAACGCGAAGAACCUUACCUACUCUUGACAUCUACAGAAGCCAGCGGAGACGCAGGUGUGCCUUCGGGAACUGUAAGACAGGUGCUGCAUGGCUGUCGUCAGCUCGUGUUGUGAAAUGUUGGGUUAAGUCCCGCAACGAGCGCAACCCUUAUCCUUGUUUGCCAGCACUUCGGGUGGGAACUCCAGGGAGACUGCCGGUGAUAAACCGGAGGAAGGUGGGGACGACGUCAAGUCAUCAUGGCCCUUACGAGUAGGGCUACACACGUGCUACAAUGGCGCAUACAGAGGGCGGCCAACUUGCGAAAGUGAGCGAAUCCCAAAAAGUGCGUCGUAGUCCGGAUUGGAGUCUGCAACUCGACUCCAUGAAGUCGGAAUCGCUAGUAAUCGUGGAUCAGAAUGCCACGGUGAAUACGUUCCCGGGCCUUGUACACACCGCCCGUCACACCAUGGGAGUGGGCUGCAAAAGAAGUGGGUAGUUUAACCUUCGGGAGGACGCUCACCACUUUGUGGUUCAUGACUGGGGGGAAGUCGUAACAAGGUAACCG